AGAGUUUGAUCCUGGCUCAGGACGAACGCUGGCGGCGUGCCUAAUACAUGCAAGUCGAACGAAACUUUCUUACACCGAAUGUUUGCAUUCACCGUAAGAAGUUGAGUGGCGGACGGGUGAGUAACACGUGGGUAACCUGCCUAAAAGAAGGGGAUAACACUUGGAAACAGGUGCUAAUACCGUAUAUCUCUAAGGAUCGCAUGAUCCUUAGAUGAAAGAUGGUUCUGCUAUCGCUUUUAGAUGGACCCGCGGCGUAUUAACUAGUUGGUGGGGUAACGGCCUACCAAGGUGAUGAUACGUAGCCGAACUGAGAGGUUGAUCGGCCACAUUGGGACUGAGACACGGCCCAAACUCCUACGGGAGGCAGCAGUAGGGAAUCUUCCACAAUGGACGCAAGUCUGAUGGAGCAACGCCGCGUGAGUGAAGAAGGUCUUCGGAUCGUAAAACUCUGUUGUUAGAGAAGAACACGAGUGAGAGUAACUGUUCAUUCGAUGACGGUAUCUAACCAGCAAGUCACGGCUAACUACGUGCCAGCAGCCGCGGUAAUACGUAGGUGGCAAGCGUUGUCCGGAUUUAUUGGGCGUAAAGGGAACGCAGGCGGUCUUUUAAGUCUGAUGUGAAAGCCUUCGGCUUAACCGGAGUAGUGCAUUGGAAACUGGAAGACUUGAGUGCAGAAGAGGAGAGUGGAACUCCAUGUGUAGCGGUGAAAUGCGUAGAUAUAUGGAAGAACACCAGUGGCGAAAGCGGCUCUCUGGUCUGUAACUGACGCUGAGGUUCGAAAGCGUGGGUAGCAAACAGGAUUAGAUACCCUGGUAGUCCACGCCGUAAACGAUGAAUGCUAGGUGUUGGAGGGUUUCCGCCCUUCAGUGCCGCAGCUAACGCAAUAAGCAUUCCGCCUGGGGAGUACGACCGCAAGGUUGAAACUCAAAGGAAUUGACGGGGGCCCGCACAAGCGGUGGAGCAUGUGGUUUAAUUCGAAGCAACGCGAAGAACCUUACCAGGUCUUGACAUCCUUUGACCACCUAAGAGAUUAGGCUUUCCCUUCGGGGACAAAGUGACAGGUGGUGCAUGGCUGUCGUCAGCUCGUGUCGUGAGAUGUUGGGUUAAGUCCCGCAACGAGCGCAACCCUUGUUGUCAGUUGCCAGCAUUAAGUUGGGCACUCUGGCGAGACUGCCGGUGACAAACCGGAGGAAGGUGGGGACGACGUCAAGUCAUCAUGCCCCUUAUGACCUGGGCUACACACGUGCUACAAUGGACGGUACAACGAGUCGCAAGACCGCGAGGUUUAGCUAAUCUCUUAAAGCCGUUCUCAGUUCGGAUUGUAGGCUGCAACUCGCCUACAUGAAGUCGGAAUCGCUAGUAAUCGCGAAUCAGCAUGUCGCGGUGAAUACGUUCCCGGGCCUUGUACACACCGCCCGUCACACCAUGAGAGUUUGUAACACCCAAAGCCGGUGGGGUAACCGCAAGGAGCCAGCCGUCUAAGGUGGGACAGAUGAUUGGGGUGAAGUCGUAACAAGGUAGCCGUAGGAGAACCUGCGGCUGGAUCACCU
rnacentral:rRNA from 2 species